UCCCCUGUAGCUCAGUUGGUAGAGCAAAGGACUGUUAAUCCUUGGGUCACAAGUUCGAGUCUUGUCGGGGGAGCCA
rnacentral:tRNA from 2 species